rnacentral:rRNA from 1 species
UACAGAGGAGCCAAGCGUUGUCCGGAUUUACUGGGCGUACAGGGAGCGUAGGCGGUUGGAUAAGCCCUCCGUGAAAUCUCCAGGCUUAACCUGGAAAGUGCAGAGGGGACUGUUCAGCUAGAGGAUGGGAGAGGAGCGCGGAAUUCCCGGUGUAGCGGUGAAAUGCGUAGAGAUCGGGAGGAAGGCCGGUGGCGAAGGCGGCGCUCUGGAACAUUUCUGACGCUGAGGCUCGAAAGCGUGGGGAGCAAACAGG